AACGAGCGACAGUUUUUUUGGAGUGGCAUCCACCAAUUGCCAGACAGAUUAUGGAGAAGUGACUGCAGCGAUACCUGCAUUGGAAGGAGACAUCUGAAAAGAAUGAGCUCUCCAUCACUACAUUGCCAUGUUGUAGACAUUUUGAAGCAAGAAGCUAGGACAGUUUUGGAAGAACAGAAUCUGUUAGAUGCAGUGUAGACUGUUAUAUGCAGUGUAGCAAUGUUUAUAUUGGAGCUAUAUUUAUUACAAAAUGUAUACAUUUAAAGAACUUCCGGACAUCCAGAUGUGAGAGAUAGGAUACUGCAUCGUAUUCGGUCGGGAAAAUUGCAGUACGUGUGUGAUUUUGCUGUGGACACUCUCGGACAGGACAAUCGCGGUUUGCGUCUCUGAAUACCAUGGCCUUCUUCUUUACGAUUUGUACAAAGUAAGCUACCCGUAUAUUAUACAGAUUAAGGAUUACUGUGCGCCUUGCUGCUUAGUUUGACCUCCUUUCGUCUGUGUAAGGAGGUUUGCCUGCGUGCAGAGGUAUUUUAGCCGAUUUUUAAUUGUCAAUAACUAAAAAACAAAGCCGGAAACGCAAUUUUUUAAUUUUUGAUUUUCGUUUUAUUUUGACUUCAAGAAUCACCCCUUAAAUUUCCUGAUACCUGUAGCCGAGCACCCUGUAUGUAAGAAUGGAAGUGUGGCGGCAAUUAAUAGCCGAUAAAUUUUGUCCUUCGAUAUGUACAUAUUUUAUUAAAGGAACAUGAAGCAGAAAUAUCAAUGAAAAAUAUGAUCGAAACGAAAUUCAUAUGAAACGUAUCGUAAAAAUCGAAUAAACAAAAGAAUAAAUACACGAAAA